rnacentral:lncRNA from 1 species
AUGAUCACCUUCAAUAACUUGAAACAAUUUUCUGAAAUGUGGGAGGAGAUGGCUUCGUUCUGCGCGACUUACCUGGGUGAUCAUACUACCAAACUAGCGAUGCAUAAGUUCGAAGUGACUCUUCCAAUGUGGUGGUGGUGGUGGUGGGGGGGGGGUGGUGUGUGUGUGGCUCGAAAAUGUGUAUUAGUCGGGGCUGGUCCCGGGGCCAAGUGGUUAAGUUUGCCUGCUCUGCUGCAGGCGGCCCAGUGUUUCGUUGGUUCGAAUCCUGGGCGCGGACACGGCACUGCUCAUCAAGCCAAGCUGAGGCAGCGUCCCACAUACCACAACUAGAAGGACCCACAAGGAAGAAUAUACAACUGUGUAACGGGGGACAUUGGGGAGGAAAAGGAAAAAAAAAAAAAUACAAUCUUUAAAGAAAAAAUUGUGUAUUAGUCAAAUACCGGCUGUGCCCGAUGGCGAGGCUACUCGUAAACAGCACCCAUUGCUGGUUUCUUGGACGUGUAGGACUGCUUGCCAGGAAGCUACCUGUGCACUCGGUAAGAUGUCUGGGGUGUGUUCCUUACAUGGAUGGCAAAUGAAGGUGAGGAGAAAACAGAUCGCCUCUGUCCAGGGACUGGGGCAGGCUUAGGGGGCUUUGUUGAACGGAGAGGGUGCCCAGGCAUCUCCGGGGCCUGUUUGAUCUUUCUGAACUUCAUGGAGAAGGUGACGAGGGACGUGGACAGCCAGAGGAGGUGGUGUACCUGCAGCAUAUUCUUCUUUUGAGCCAGACAGCACAGGAGUGUGAGGUGCUGCUCCUCAAAUCCCCAGCCCUCCAGGCGCAAGGGCUUCUGAAGUCUUCAGUUCGUGCGUCCCAGCACUUGAAGGCCUCUGUGGACUAUGUGGGGCAACCAGUAUCCCAAACGAAGGCUCUUGUAAUCAGCACCACCAGGAUGCCCCCCACUCACCUGCAGGCAUUAAAAGCAUCCUCACUGAGGUUCAGCGGCUACCUGGAUCUCUGCUGUGCUGAGGGAUGUUUGGCCUUUGCUUUGACAUGGAUCUCUGGAGGGCUGAUGGGAACGCUGACGGGGCUGUAGGGAGCUCAAGGAAGAGAGAACCUCCAGGAAACUCAGCGGGGGCCACGGCUGGGGCUCAGGCAGUGCAGAGAGGCAGGAGCAUGUG